rnacentral:rRNA from 1 species
GACGAACGCUGGCGGCGUGCUUAACACAUGCCAGUCGAACGGAAAGGCCCUGCUUUUGUGGGGUGCUCGAGUGGCGAACGGGUGAGUAACACGUGAGUAACCUGCCCUUGACUUUGGGAUAACUUCAGGAAACUGGGGCUAAUCCCGGAUAGGAGAUCCUGCUGCAUGGUGGGGGUUGGAAAGUUUCGGCGGUUGGGGAUGGACUCGCGGCUUAUGAGCUUGUUGGUGGGGUAGUGGCUUACCAAGGCUUUGACUGGUAGCCGGCCUGGGAGGGUGACCGGCCACAUUGGGACUGAGAUACGGCCCAGACGCCUACGGGAGGCAGCAGUGGGGAAUAUUGCACAAUGGGCGGAAGCCUGAUGCAGCAACGCCGCGUGCGGGAUGACGGCCUUCGGGUUGUAAACCGCUUUCGCCUGUGACGAAGCGUGAGUGACGGUAAUGGGUAAAGAAGCACCGGCUAACUACGUG